GUGUCAGCAGCCGCGGUAAAACGUAGGUGGCAAGCGUUAUCCGGAUUUACUGGGCGUAAAGGGUGUGCAGGCGGAUGGACAAGUGGUGGAUGAAAGACCCUGGCUUAACUGGGGGAACGUAAACCAGACUGUUCAUCUCGAACAUGAGAGAGGGAUGUGGAAUUCCGGGUGUAGUGGUGAAAUGCGUAGAGAUCCGGAGGAACACCAGAGGCGAAAGCGGCAUCCUGGCUCAUAGUUGACGCUCAGACACGAAAGCAUGGGGAGCGAACGGGAUUAGAUACCCUUGUAGUCC
rnacentral:rRNA from 1 species